CAAAACCGGUAACUGGGGCUAAGUCGUAACAAGGUAGCCGUACCGGAAGGUGCGGCUGGAACACCUCCUUU
rnacentral:rRNA from 1 species